UCUUGCUUAAUAACAUUGUAAUAUUAGCAAAAUAUUUCAUUCAUAAAUGUAGAUUCUUUAAAUCCCCCCCACUACUUAUUGUAUUCAAAAAUGACUUAAAAUGUUUUUCCAAAGCCCUUAAUAAGAUGAAAGGUCAGAGUGCUAUGAAGCUGCUUUACUUAUUGACGUCAUUUAAUUUAUUGUGAUACUGCCCCUAAUAUGUAUCUUUGUUUUAUUCAUUUAUUUAUUUUUCUUUUACUUGUUAUUUAAAUUCAUUUAAAUUAUUAUUUCAGAUUUCUAUUUAUUUUUUCAAAUUUUUCUUGUGUUGAGCCUGUUAUACUUAUUUAAAUUGUGAAUAUAUAUUUGCCUUUGUUGUUGAUAUACUUUUCUAUUCAAUAAAAAAAAAAAAAAAAAAAAAAAGGACGGAGCCUUAUUUAAAAAAAAUAAUAAUAAUAAGGACGGAGCCUUAUUUAUUUUUAUUUUAUAUAUGUAUAAUGUCCCCCUUUGUAUUUCUUAUUAUUUAAAAAAAAUAUUAAAAAUAAUUUUAAAAGGACGCAGCUGUGCGUUUGAGAAACGACCGGAAACGACUUAUAUGUCGCGAGGCCAUCACGUGACCACAAUAUUUACCAGAAGACCGUUAUUUGCUCGAGUACCCUCAACUUUUUUGUCGCAAAUAACAUUAUUAAUAACCUGUAAAUAAUAAAUUUUGUACACAUUACGUUCCUCUUCACUUUGUAAUAGUAUGUUUUUUGGUUUAAUAGUCGGCUUUAAGUUAGUUUUCCUGUCAGUUUGAUCGUCAAAAUCUUGAAAGUUAUCUGCAGCCACACAUCCACUGUAUACCAAGUUAUGAUGAACAAUUAUGAAAAUGCAAAAGGAUUGAUAGAUCAGUAAACAAGCAACAAAAAGCUUUACAAAAAAUGUAGAAUUUGUAGGAGCGCAUGGACAUCUGAGUAACAAAGUCAUAUUAUGCAGAUGGGUGCUCAUGGUGGCCUCCAAAUAAAUACAUGGACAGGCUGCUAAAGAGGGUCAGGAUGAUGGAGAUGCAAGAGCCAAAGACAGCACAGACCAAACACCAGGCCAGAAUUCUGCAUGAGUCAGAUUGAGUAAUUUUCACUCUAGAGACCCUUGGGUGACCACCAAGGACGAAUGCAAACUCCAGUGAGUGUCUCUAAGGUAGAUCCUAAUGCAGAUGGAUGGAAUGUUGAUCCGCCUAACAUGCAAGCUACAGAGGGCAUCCUUUAUUCAGUCCCUAAUGCAGAUGGUUGGAGUGUUGAUCUACCUAACAUGAGGGGUAAAAGAGUGUUUGUUAGCAUAAUGAGAAAGAAAACAGAAACACAUUAUUAGUGGCAUUUAAAAACAUAACACUUGUUUAUACUACAUUUUAUGUUCAAUCCAUAGAGCACUCGUUUUGAGUCCUGAGACCCUGGGGUGACCACCGUGAACAAAUACAGAAGCACUCAAAUUGAGUCCUGAGACCCUGGGGUGACCACCGUGAACAAAUACAGACUGCAAUAGCAGUCUUGACAGUACUAGGAUGAAUGCAAAUAAAGACUAACCACCUGACAUCAGCUAUCCAGUCUCUUGUGGGAAGCAGGUGCUUGUUACCCCAAAUACGGAUGAAGAGUGACGAAG